rnacentral:rRNA from 1 species
UAGGGAAUAUUGGGCAAUGGAGGCAACUCUGACCCAGCCAUGCCGCGUGUAGGAAGAAGGCGUUCUGCGUUGUAAACUACUUUUAUCGGGGAAGAAACGUCAUCUUGCGAGGUGAUUUGACGGUACUCGAGGAAUAAGCACCGGCUAACUCCGUGCCAGCAGCCGCGGUAAUACGGAGGGUGCAAGCGUUGUCCGGAUUUAUUGGGUUUAAAGGGUGCGUAGGUGGUUUGAUAAGUCUGACCUGAAAGUGGGCCGCUCAACGGCACAGGGUGGUUGGAUACUGUCGAACUUGAAUUAGGCGGAGGUUGCCGGAACGGAUGGUGUAGCGGUGAAAUGCAUAGAGAUCAUCCAGAACGCCAAUUGCGUAGGCAGGUGGCUACGCCUUGAUUGACACUGAGGC